GCUACACCGAUUGAAAAUUGAGUGGCGAACGGGUGAGUAACACGUGGGUAACCUGCCCAAAAGAGGGGGAUAACACUUGGAAACAGGUGCUAAUACCGCAUAACCAUGAUGACCGCAUGGUCAUUAUGUAAAAGAUGGUUUCGGCUAUCACUUUUGGAUGGACCCGCGGCGUAUUAACUUGUUGGUGGGGUAACGGCCUACCAAGGUAAUGAUACGUAGCCGAACUGAGAGGUUGAUCGGCCACAUUGGGACUGAGACACGGCCCAAACUCCUACGGGAGGCAGCAGUAGGGAAUCUUCCACAAUGGGCGCAAGCCUGAUGGAGCAACGCCGCGUGAGUGAAGAAGGUCUUCGGAUCGUAAAACUCUGUUGUUAGAGAAGAACAUGCAGGAGAGUAACUGUUCUUGUAUUGACGGUAUCUAACCAGAAAGCCACG
rnacentral:rRNA from 1 species